GAUGAACGCUGGCGGCGUGCCUAAUACAUGCAAGUCGAGCGAACGGACGAGAAGCUUGCUUCUCUGAUGUUAGCGGCGGACGGGUGAGUAACACGUGGAUAACCUACCUAUAAGACUGGGAUAACUUCGGGAAACCGGAGCUAAUACCGGAUAAUAUUUUGAACCGCAUGGUUCAAAAGUGAAAGACGGUCUUGCUGUCACUUAUAGAUGGAUCCGCGCUGCAUUAGCUAGUUGGUAAGGUAACGGCUUACCAAGGCAACGAUGCAUAGCCGACCUGAGAGGGUGAUCGGCCACACUGGAACUGAGACACGGUCCAGACUCCUACGGGAGGCAGCAGUAGGGAAUCUUCCGCAAUGGGCGAAAGCCUGAAGGAGCAACGCCGCGUGAGUGAUGAAGGUCUUCGGAUCGUAAAACUCUGUUAUUAGGGAAGAACAUAUGUGUAAGUAACUGUGCACAUCUUGACGGUACCUAAUCAGAAAGCCACGGCUAACUACGUG
rnacentral:rRNA from 1 species